UUAGGGGCGGAGUCUUACUCCCUCCAUCUUACCUGUGAUGACGUAGCUCUGUUUCCUGUCCUGGGACCCAAAGGGGCGGAGUUAGUUUUUUCUCUCUAGAAAACUAGGUUCAACUCUUCAUCAGGCCUUUAGUUGAGUCUAGGUUCAGCUAAUCAACUCUUCAUCACAGCUUCAGUUGAGUCUAGGUUCAACUCUUCAUCACGCCUUUAGUUGAGUCUCGGUUCAACUCUUCAUCACAGCUUUAGUUGAGUCUAGGUUCAACUCUUCAUCAGGUCUUUAGUUGAAUCUAGGUUCAACUCUUCAUCACGUCUUUAGUUGAAUCUAGGUUCAACUCUUCAUCAGGUCUUUAGUUGAAUCUAGGUUCAACUCUUCAUCACGUCUUUAGUUGAGUCUAGGUUCAACUCUUCAUCAGGCCUUUAGUUGAAUCUAGGUUCAACUCUUCAUCAGGUCUUUAGUUGAGUCUAGGUUCAACUCUUCAUCAGGCCUUUAGUUGAGUCUAGGUUCAACUCUUCAUCAGGCCUUUAGUUGAGUCUAGGUUCAACUCUUCAUCAGGUCUUUAGUUGAGUCUAGGUUCAACUCUUCAUCAGGUCUUUAGUUGAGUCUAGGUUCAACUCUUCAUCAGGCCUUUAGUUGAGUCUAGGUUCAACUCUUCAUCAGGCCUUUAGUUGAGUCUAGGUUCAACUCUUCAUCAGGUCUUUAGUUGAGUCUAGGUUCAACUCUUCAUCAGGCCUUUAGUUGAGUCUAGGUUCAACUCUUCAUCAGGUCUUUAGUUGAAUCUAGGUUCAACUCUUCAUCAGGUCUUUAGUUGUGUCUAGUGUGUUAGUACUGGGGGUCCCCAGGAUUGGGGAAAUGGACGUAGCUCCUUCUAUCAACAAUGGUGCCUUGGAUA